rnacentral:rRNA from 1 species
UACAGAGGGUGCGAGCGUUGUUCGGAAUUACUGGCGUAAAGCGUGCGCAGGCGGUUUUGUAAGUCUGUCGUGAAAUCCCCAGGCUCAACCUGGGAAUUGCGAUGGAGACUGCAAGGCUAGAAUCUGGCAGAGGGGGUAGAAUUCCACGUGUAGCAGUGAAAUGCGUAGAGAUGUGGAGGAACGCCGAUGGCGAAGGCAGCCCCCCUGGGUCAAGAUUGACGCUCAUGCACGAAAGCGUGGGGAGCAAACAGG